GACGAACGCUAGCGGCAGGCCUAAUACAUGCAAGUCGAACGGUAAGGCUCCUUCGGGAGUACACGAGUGGCGCACGGGUGCGUAACACGUAUGCAACCUACCCUUUAGAGGGGGAUAGUCGCGGGAAACUGCGAAUAAUACCCCAUAUGCUCACGCAAUGGCAUCAUUGAGUGAGGAAAGCUCCGGCGCUAAAGGAUGGGCAUGCGCCCCAUUAGUUAGUUGGUGAGGUAACGGCUCACCAAGACUCCGAUGGGUAACUGGUCUGAGAGGAUGAUCAGUCACACGGGCACUGAGACACGGGCCCGACUCCUACGGGAGGCAGCAGUAAGGAAUAUUGGACAAUGGACGCAAGUCUGAUCCAGCCAUGCCGCGUGGUGGAUGACGGCCCUCUGGGUUGUAAACACCUUUUAUGUGAGGAUAAUGUGGUUCUAUAUGAACCAUUGCAGGUACCACAUGAAUAAGCACCGGCUAACUACG
rnacentral:rRNA from 1 species